UACAGAGGCCUCGAGCGUUAGGCGGAAUCACUGGGCUUAAAGCGUGUGUAGGCGGACUUCUAAGUACCUUGUGAAAUCCCACGGCUUACCCGUGGAACGGCUGGGUAUACUGGUUGUCUUGAGCCACUUAGGGGCUACCGGAACAAAUGGUGGAGCGGUGAAAUGCGUAGAUAUCAUUUGGAACGCCAAUGGUGAAAACAGGUAGCUGGGAGUGAUGCUGACGCUGAGACACGAAAGCCAGGGGAGCGAACGGG
rnacentral:rRNA from 1 species